rnacentral:rRNA from 1 species
AUUGAACGCUGGCGGCAGGCCUAACACAUGCAAGUCGAACGAGUGGCGGACGGGUGAGUAAUGUCUGGGAAACUUCCUGAUGGAGGGGGAUAACUACUGGAAACGGUAGCUAAUACCGCAUACCAUCGGAUGUGCCCAGAGGGGAUUAGCUAGUAGGUGGGGUAAAGGCUCACCUAGGCGACGAUCCCUCGCUGGUCUGAGAGGAUGACAAGCAACAUGGGAACUGAGCCACGGUCCAGACUCCUACGGGAGGCAGCAGUGGGGAAUAUGGCACAAUGGGCGAAAGCCUGAUGCAGCCAUGCCGCGUGUAUGAAGAAGGCCUUCGGGUUGUAAAGUACUUUCAGCGGGGAGGCGUUACCCGCAGAAGAAGCACCGGCUAACUCCGUGCCAGCAGCCGCGGUAAUAC